rnacentral:lncRNA from 1 species
GAAAUGUUUAACGGAGGCAGCACCUGAGCUGCAACGCAAAUUAAGCUCGAGCGUGCUCUCAAGACGCUGGAAAAAAGCAGAUAAUCACAAACCGGGGGAGUGGAUGAGGCAGCGUGAAGGAAAUUAGGUGUCCCAAAAAUAAGUAAGUUGCCACACGCCGUUCCAAAAUAGCUCCUGCGACGGCUCGAGCGUCGCAGAUGGUUUGUGUUGCUGAGGAAUGACUAAUUUCCUCUUGGUAGAAUGUGAAGUUUACAUUGGUGGGUUUUUUUUUUUUUUUUUUUUUUUGGUUUAAUUUGGUUUGAAUUGAAGGAUUCACAGCUGUGCUGCUUUUCAUCCGUCUUCACCUGUCUACAAAAAAAAGGGCCGAUCCACACCUGGGAUGCCAGAUCUCAAGGACGCUGCAGCUCUCCAGUGUACAGCAAGUGAGACUUUCUACAUUUGACACCAGUUGAGUUGAAGGAAAUGAUAAUCGCAAGCAAAGAAGCCAAACUGUCUUGCUGUGCUGGUUCAGCACUUGGCCUGAGCACGCUGCUAUACAUGCAUUUGGCUGUUCCCACCAACACUGAAGGUCUGCUCCACCAAACAGGCACAAGCAUAGAAAACACUUCAAAACAUCCGCAGUGUUUCAUCUCCCCCUCAGCCUGACAAUCAUCCUUGGAAGCAAAAGGCAAUGAGUCAAACAUGGCAAGACAGCAGAUGGAUAGACGAGCAGCAAGAUGAACUGGAAGACAGGCAGACAGACAGGCCAUGUUGCUGGGGAUAGGGUUCACCUGGGGUUUAACCUGAGUUGCAUUUGAUGGGUCAGAAUCCCCACAAGAAGUGUAUGAUUGUAGGAUGAUUUUCGCAGCCAAAAACAGGAACAUGAUGACCCAAAUCUGUUCAGUACUACUUAAAAUGCUUUUUUUUUUAAGGAGUUUAAUUUUUCUUUGCAGUCUUGAGAAAAAUAGAUAGGAAGUACCCAUUAUUUUCCAAUCCUUAUUUCUUCCCCG